rnacentral:rRNA from 1 species
GUGGGGAAUCUUGCGCAAUGGGCGAAAGCCUGACGCAGCCAUGCCGCGUGAAUGAUGAAGGUCUUAGGAUUGUAAAAUUCUUUCACCGGGGACGAUAAUGACGGUACCCGGAGAAGAAGCCCCGGCUAACUUCGUGCCAGCAGCCGCGGUAAUACGAAGGGGGCUAGCGUUGCUCGGAAUUACUGGGCGUAAAGGGAGCGUAGGCGGAUAGUUUAGUCAGAGGUGAAAGCCCAGGGCUCAACCUUGGAAUUGCCUUUGAUACUGGCUAUCUUGAGUAUGGAAGAGGUAUGUGGAACUCCGAGUGUAGAGGUGAAAUUCGUAGAUAUUCGGAAGAACACCAGUGGCGAAGGCGACAUACUGGUCCAUUACUGACGCUGAGGCUCGAAAGCGUGGGGAGCAAACAGGAUUAGAUACCCUGGUAGUCC